AUACUAAAUGAACACAUACACUAAAAUGAACAAUACAGAGAUUAGCCUGGCCCCUGUGUAAGGAUGACACACAAUAUUCAUGAAGCAUUCCAUUAAAAA
ensembl:snRNA U6 U6 spliceosomal RNA